GAUGAACGCUGGCGGCGUGCCUAAUACAUGCAAGUCGAGCGAACAGACGAGGAGCUUGCUCCUCUGACGUUAGCGGCGGACGGGUGAGUAACACGUGGAUAACCUACCUAUAAGACUGGGAUAACUUCGGGAAACCGGAGCUAAUACCGGAUAACAUGUUGAACCGCAUGGUUCAACAGUGAAAGACGGUUUUGCUGUCACUUAUAGAUGGAUCCGCGCCGCAUUAGCUAGUUGGUAAGGUAACGGCUUACCAAGGCAACGUUGCGUAGCCGACCUGAGAGGGUGAGCGGCAAAGCGGGAAGGGAAACAGGGACAAGAGACCUAGGGGAGGAAGAAGAAGGGAAGUUUGCGCAAGGGGGGAAAGCAGGAGGGAGAAACGCGGGGGGAGAGAAAAAGGUCUAGGGAGCGAAAAACUUUGUAAUAAGGAAAAAAAAAAGGGAAAAGAAAAAAGGCACGGAGGGAGGGGAAAAAAAAAAAAAGCCACGGCAAACUAGGUG
rnacentral:rRNA from 1 species